CUGGUCUGUCUUUCCAAACGGACCAGGUCGUCCCAAUUCGUAAUUGAAGUCCACCAAUUCGAAGUACUGGAAGGGUGAACCGGUCUACGGAAACUUAAAUCACCAUAUUGUAUACCUAAGGAUUGAUCUUGGGGAUCAAUUUCACCCAACUCAAUCCUAGUUAUUAUGGUGGAGACAACGGAAAGAAAACACUCUUCAACGUUGCUUCCUGUAUAAGAACUAGUUUCAUGCGCACUAGAUAUAUGCUUUUCUGAGCAAAACUCAGCUGCCUCUUCAGUAGAGACUUGUCGUUGGUUUUGUAAAUCAGAUUUGCUACCAGCCAAUACAACACAUAUUGUUGAUGGAGCCAUAGCUCGAAUAUCAGACAGCCAAGACGACAAUUCUUCAAACGAGUCCUUGUUUGUCACAUCAUAGACUAAAACAGCACCUGCUGCUCCACGAUAGUAAUUCCUAGCCACGCUUCGAAACUUUUCCUGACCAGCAGUAUCCCAUAUUUGUAACUUGAUUCUUUUUUGCUGGUUUCCCAUUCCAACACUUAUAAUCCGACUUGCGAAAUCGAUUCCAACAGUAUGUGAUACUUGAUCAUCCCCUAAUUUCCAUUAAAAACUUGAACAUUGUUAAAUUUGCAUGUACUUACAUUGAUUCUUAACAAAUCUCUGUAACAAGCAGGAUUUGCCAGUUCCCGAAGGACCUGCAAGUACAAUCUUUACCAAAUAGUCAUAUGAUUCUUUGUCCAUAAUAAUAAAUAGAAUUUUUGGCUUUCAAUUGUUCUCUUCUUGACAUUUCAAGCUCGUAGGCUCCGAUAUUGGUAUGAUGCUCUGGAUCACGUAGCACUAACAAAUGUAGACAACACCAAAAAUAUUAUUUAUUAACUUCUGAUUAAAAUGUUAAGAGGAAAAUGAAUUUCUAAAGGACGUAAUAUGCAACUUCACUUGAUUGGCAAUGAAACUAUAACUCUAAGUUCUUGCAUCUACAUAUCUACACCUAAAAAUUCAGUUCUGUACUGUAACAAAACUAACCAUCCAACAUCAGCUUACAGAAUGAUUAUAUGAACAUAGAGAAAAAAAUAAAAAAAUAAAUGCAAAUUGACUAUCCUAUGUCCAAGCCUCUAUUGAACUGUCACAAAGCACACAAGCAUAUAAUCAAAGUCAAAAUGUCAGAAGAAUCAUGAAGAAAAGCCAAAAUUUGCGCGUUAUUUGGAAUCUAUGGGUACGAAAUGAAAAAGUGAAUAAUUAAAUGAUCGGUCGGUGUGCUUGAGCAAUGAUGUAAAACUAAUUGAAAUUCUGCAACAAUCCAGGCUUCUCGGCCUAAUCUCAAGUAUAAACCUCACAUUCUUUCAAGCGUGGCUAACCGAUUAAAGAUUCUUUUGUUUUGACAACGCUAAACACUUAGUUAGUUUUGUUCCUAAGUUGUUCGCAGAUUAAUCAUUAUGAUGAAACUUACGAUUAUAGCAAAGUAGCUUUUCGAUUAAGUCGACAUGAGUAAGAAUCAUACGACGACAACAAUAACGUUGAAGGCCAAGUUUAUCCAAUGCCUCACCCUCUGUGUUAUCCUCUUGAAGGAGUGUGAGAUAGGUGUCCCACUUGUCACCAAUAACCUGCUGUAUUAGCAAGCAAAUAAUUAAAAAAAUAA